rnacentral:rRNA from 1 species
UACGUAGGUGGCAAGCGUUGUCCGGAUUUAUUGGGCGUAAAGCGCGCGCAGGCGGUUUGUCGCGUCUGCUGUGAAAAUCCGGGGCUCAACCCCGGACUUGCAGUGGGUACGGGCAGACUAGAGUGUGGUAGGGGAGACUGGAAUUCCUGGUGUAGCGGUGAAAUGCGCAGAUAUCAGGAGGAACACCGAUGGCGAAGGCAGGUCUCUGGGCCACUACUGACGCUGAGAAGCGAAAGCAUGGGGAGCGAACAGG